rnacentral:rRNA from 1 species
AUACGGAGGGGGUUAGCGUUGUUCGGAAUUACUGGGCGUAAAGCGCACGUAGGCGGAUUGGAAAGUUGGGGGUGAAAUCCCAGGGCUCAACCCUGGAACUGCCUCCAAAACUAACAGUCUAGAGUUCGAGAGGGGUGAGUGGAAUUCCAAGUGUAGAGGUGAAAUUCGUAGAUAUUUGGAGGAACACCAGUGGCGAAGGCGGCUCACUGGCUCGAUACUGACGCUGAGGUGCGAAAGCGUGGGGAGCAAACAGAAUUAGAAACCCUAGUAGUCC